rnacentral:misc_RNA from 1 species
AACGGUCUAUACCUGCGGUACCUGCGGAGGGAUCAUUACCGAGUGCGGGCCCUCGCGGCCCAACCUCCCACCCUUGUCUCUAUACACCUGUUGCUUUGGCGGGCCCACCGGGGCCACCUGGUCGCCGGGGGACGUCCGUCCCCGGGCCCGUGCCCGCCGAAGCGCUCUGUGAACCCUGAUGAAGAUGGGCUGUCUGAGUACUAUGAAAAUUGUCAAAACUUUCAACAAUGGAUCUCUAGA